rnacentral:rRNA from 1 species
CGUGUAGGCGGCCAGACAGGUCCGUUGUGAAAACUCGAGGCUCAACCUCGAGACGCCGAUGGAAACCGUCUGGCUAGAGUCCGGAAGAGGGGAGUGGAAUUCCUGGUGUAGCGGUGAAAUGCGCAGAUAUCAGGAAGAACACCCGUGGCUAAGGCGGCUCUCUAGUACGGUACUGACGCUGAGACGCGAAAGCGUGGGGAGCGAACA